UACGUAGGGUGCGAGCGUUGUCCGGAAUUAUUGGGCGUAAAGAGCUCGUAGGCGGUUUGUUGCGUCGGCCGUGAAAACCUGCAGCUUAACUGUGGGCCUGCGGCCGAUACGGGCAGACUUGAGUUCGGUAGGGGAGACUGGAAUUCCUAGUGUAGCGGUGAAAUGCGCAGAUAUUAGGAGGAACACCGGUGGCGAAGGCGCCACUCUGGGCCGAAACUGACGCUGAGGAGCGAAAGCGUGGGUAGCAAACAGG
rnacentral:rRNA from 1 species